ensembl:lncRNA
AUGUGUUACUUCAUCUCAUUGUCACUGUUUAUUGUGAUUUCACAGCAAUGCCAGAAACUAAAAAAAAAAAAAAGAAUAAGAGCAGAAAUAGGACAGCACACCCAGUUUGGUGAGAGCUGGUGUCACCCGUGCUGCAGAAGCCAAAGUGUUCAUGUUGGUGCUCAGAUCAGUAACAGCAUGUCAUUACGGGGUUGCACAGCGGGCAGAACAGGUGAACCAGACAUACGUCUGACACUCAAGCACCAGAGAUCCCGUCCCACAGACAGCUGCCCAGACGCCCGGCGAGUCCCAGACCUGCCAGUCCGGUUCCAUCGGCAGUUCUACUGGUGACGGCUGUGACAUGCGAGAAAACUGUCCGUGCCGAAAUCCGUCACUUCCUUGCUACUUUCAUCCCCCGCGCACUUCAAAACGUGACAUGUGUCAUCUGUAAGAAGCUUAGAGAUGCUGAAUCCCCCCCCCAUCUGACGCUUUGAUGGUGAUUCUGCCCAAGGCGUUUGUCAUACAUAACUUAGUCUGUAACAAUGAGAAACGGAGGCUGGUUGAAGGAUGGGGAUAGAAAAAGUGUGUAAGAAUGCAUAUAUUGUAAAAUCCCUACUAUCACCAUGGGGCAGGAAAUCAAAGUAUGCAAUGGAAGUGUGUAUCACAGGCUUGUCAUCGUUCCUCUUGUUCGCCAGUGAUUUCAGUGGCUGCCUCUGGUCUUAAGGCAGAACAUGGCUGUCAAAGACUCCUGUAGUGAAUGUCGGGGCAUCUUAGUCCCAAUUUUACUGCAGCAAAUCUUUCAAUCCCAUUGAUACUUGAUGUACUACACAGCGGGCAACCACUGUGUCAGAGAACCUCUGCUUAUGGAUGGAUAAAAUGCUUUACAUUACAUUGGCUGAUGUCUUUCCAUGUGUAAUUCUGGAUUAUAGUAAAUAUGACAAUUCAUGUCUGGCCUUUGGAGUUUGAAUUAACAGUAAGAAGUUACAAAUUAUGACUAUAACCUAAAUAUGGAACAUAGGCCUGUGGCAGAAGAGCAAACAUGACUAUGUUCUUGGCAGAAGAUGCCUAUGUUUGUGGUUCAGCUAAUGUGUCCCUCUUUGGUUUGGAUGCCUGUAUUUCUCCCAUUUUCAAUCUCUGUGUGUGUGUUUUGUGCUUUGACUGUUAAAACCCUCUGGAGUCGAUUAACGCGUAUACGCGUUUUGGGGUAUUUUCUCCUGAUAACCCCGAAAAGAACUUAAAUUACACUUUCAGUUUUGAUCGUACAGAGAAGAGCAAUACAUCAAUCGAAUCUGUAAAGGGUCUACUUUUUUGUAUACAGACAUAAUAACAACAAAACUUUGUGCACUUAUAAAAUAAAGAUAACAAACAAGGAGUGCUGUCUGCAGCCUUUGUCUGCGCUGAUCUUCAGUUACAAAUGCGUCAUUAAAAUGAACUGUAACUCAGUGAAUACUCAACGAAGAGACAUGAGAGAGAUAUCUAUAGAAAGCCUGACAUGUCUACUUUUAAACUAAACGAGUGCUGCUGAAAACAAAUAUUCUGUGAUAAAGUAAUCCAUAUGAAAACAACCCGAUGUCCGUUUUUCACGUCUUCCUUCAUUAUCUUCUAAUGCGACCACGCCCCGCGCCCGAGCGCUUUUGAGAUUCAAAUGUUUCACUGAAGCGCGCGGCUUUUUGAAUACGCCCACACAACAGAAGACAACGCAGCGAGAUUGUUCUUCAAGUUUUUUUAUUAUUUUACUGUUUGCUUCGAGGAGAGGAAUAAGACAUAAUUCACCCCAAAAAAAGAUGUGAUGUGGUUGAGGAUUUGAGAUUUGGAUUUCCUCAGAAAAAAGAAUGAAGCACUUUAUUCAGCAGAGAUCAUAAACAUGAGUAAGUCUCUUUUUAUUUAUUUAUAUACUUGUACUAGUUUUCACAUAACGUGUAAACAUUUUACUAGUUAGACUUUUUCCAAAGACUUUUUCCAAACUAUAAUUCCUGACUAAAUGUAUAAUCAAGUGAAAUAUUAUGAAGUUUCAAUAACAAUAUACACUACUAUACCAUUCAAAAGCUUGAUGUACAUAAUAUAAAUGUAACAAUAAAUGUAACUGUAACAAAUGUAACAAUCAUUGCUCUUUUUCAACAUUAAUAAUAAUAAUAAUAAUAAUAAUAAUAAUAAUAAUAAUAAUAAUAAUAAUAAUAAUAACAAUAAAUGUUUUUUUGUAGAAAAUAAGAUUGUUAAAAGGAUUUCUGAAGGAUUGUGUGACUGGAGUAAUGAUGCAAAAAAUUCAGUUUGAAAGUCAGCUUUGAUUGUUCCUAAUAAACUGUUUAACUGCACUCACAAGUGAAUAUUAAAUUAUGUUGUGGGAUAAUUAAAUAUAUUCUAAAUAAACUACAAACAUAAAAAUUAUAUACAUUUAUUGUGUCCUCACAUUCUUUCUUGUAACUCACCCCUCUCAGUGACACAGCUGACUGAAUGGCUCAUUAUGCAGCUCAUUAUGCAGGUCUUUGUCUUCUCAGGUGUGAAUUCAUGAUAGUUGACGCCUACUCGCAUAUGACUUUUACCAACAAAAAGUGUCUUAGAAAAUUUAAAUCAAUAUAUUGUUUUCUGUAAGUGAGUAAACAAGAUGAUUUUCACAUCAUUUAGAAAAAAAAAAUUCUAGGCUACAAGCUCCAGUUCUCCAAAUUCCUGGGAACCAAUUUUCUAUAUGUGUUUUAUUGCCUUAUUCAAGUGAUUUAACAUUUUUAGUUUUUCACUAACCACGCAUAACAUUUUUUUUCUCAAAAACACAAUCAUGUACAUACAUGCUGCUCACAUAUUAUUAUAGCCUAGUUUGUGCUGAUUACAGUGAGAUUAGACUUUAGCCAUUUAGAUAUUUAUAAGAAACUGAAAAAAGCACAAAUGUCAGGGCAUGACAAAACUUCUCCAGGCCCCAAAAAUACCCUUAGACUCCAGAGGGUUAACCUUUGGCUAAACCAGUCCCUGAGCUAACAUCUGUGUGAUUGAGAUGACUGAACUCCAGAGAGCCGAGGACAGAGCUGUUCCCGUCUCUCCUUAUUAAGACUGCCUUUAUGAAUGUUUCAAUUAAAGGGCCUUUUAAGCUUGUAUCCACAAAUAUGCAUGUAUCCAAUUAGCACUGGUUGCCCACAUGACCUCAUCUGCAAACGAUUUGUUUUUUCCUUCACAGUUUUCUAUAUUAAGCCACUCCACAAAAUGUCUCUCUGAAUUUGAAAUCAUACUGGAACACAUUGGUCUUGUAUUAAAUAUACUCAGAAAACCUAAUUCUUAUGCAAGUUAAGUAAAUGUCUAAAUAAUGUUUAUUUGUUCAUUAAUAAUACUCUGAAGAAAGAUCUGAGUCAGAUUGGGGUUUUAUUUUUUUAUUUUUUUUUAUUUUUUUUCAGGAAUACCAGAACCUUUAAUUGAACAAUUCUUAAAAGAACUGUUUUUCUUAGUCUGAGGAACUUUUUAAAAAUCUGAAGAAUUGCUGCAGUUUGUUUUACAAAAUAUGUGCCUCUGGCACAUGUAAUGUAAUCCUAAAUGUUAGAAUGAGUAAACAUUUUAAACUCUGGACAAUAUAAUUUUCUCUAAGUUUUACUAACAUUUUCUCUUCUGCACUCUACCUCCUUUCAUUUUCUUUUCCUCUGCAUCACUCAAUUUUUCAUUAAUAAUCAUUGUAGUGACCAGAUGUAUCACAUAUUGAAAAAAGAGAGGAUGCAUCUCACAAAAUAAGAUAAACACUGAGAAAUAGAAAAG